CACGUAGGGCGCAAGCGUUGUCCGGAAUUAUUGGGCGUAAAGAGCUCGUAGGCGGUCUGUUGCGUCCGCUGUGAAAACUCGGGGCUUAACCCCGAGCCUGCAGUGGAUACGGGCAGACUAGAGGUAGGUAGGGGAGAAUGGAAUUCCGGGUGUAGCGGUGGAAUGCGUAGAGAUCCGGAAGAACACCGGUGGCGAAGGCGGUCUGCUGGGCAGUUGCUGACACUGAGGCGCGACAGCGUGGGGAGCAAACAGA
rnacentral:rRNA from 1 species